UACGUAGGGGGCAAGCGUUGUCCGGAUUUAUUGGGCGUAAAGAGCGUGUAGGCGGCCAGGUAGGUCCGUUGUGAAAACUGGAGGCUUAACCUCCAGCUGUCGAUGGAAACCAUCUGGCUAGAGUCCGGAAGAGGAGAGUGGAAUUCCUGGUGUAGCGGUGAAAUGCGCAGAUAUCAGGAAGAACACCCGUGGCGAAAGCGGCGCGCUGGACCACUACUGACGCUGAGGAACGAAAGCUAGGGGAGCAAACAGG
rnacentral:rRNA from 1 species